CACGUAGGGCGCAAGCGUUUGUCCGGAAUUAUUGGGCGUAAAGAGCUCGUAGGCGGUCUGUUGCGUCCGCUGUGAAAACCCAGGGCUUAACCCUGUGCCUGCUUUCGAUACGGGCAGACUAGAGGCAUUCAGGGGAGAACGGAAUUCCUGGUGUAGCGGUGAAAUGCGCAGAUAUCAGGAGGAACACCGGUGGCGAAGGCGGUUCUCUGGGAAUGUUCUGACGCUGAGGAGCGAAAGUGUGGGGAGCGAACAGG
rnacentral:rRNA from 1 species